rnacentral:rRNA from 1 species
GACGUAGGAGGCGAGCGUUGUCCGGAAUCAUUGGGCGUAAAGCGCGUGUAGGCGGUCCGGUAAGUCCGCUGUGAAAGUCGAGGGCUCAACCCUCGAAUGCCGGUGGAUACUGUCGGGCUUGAGUACGGGAGAGGCGAGUGGAAUUCCUGGUGUAGCGGUGAAAUGCGCAGAUAUCAGGAGGAACACCGAUUGCGAAGGCAGCUCGCUGGAACGUUACUGACGCUGAGACGCGAAAGCGUGGGGAGCAAACAGG